rnacentral:rRNA from 1 species
CCUAAGGUAGCGAAAUUCCUUGUCGGGUAAGUUCCGACCUGCACGAAUGGCGUAAUGAUGGCCAGGCUGUCUCCACCCGAGACUCAGUGAAAUUGAACUCGCUGUGAAGAUGCAGUGUACCCGCGGCAAGACGGAAAGACCCCGUGAACCUUUACUAUAGCUUGACACUGAACACUGGUCCUUGAUGUGUAGGAUAGGUGGGAGGCUUUGAAGCGUGGACGCCAGUCUGCGUGGAGCCAACCUUGAAAUACCACCCUUUAAUGGCUGGUGUUCUAACGUAGACCCGUGAUCCGGGUUGCGGACAGUGUCUGGUGGGUAGUUUGACUGGGGCGGUCUCCUCCCAAAGAGUAACGGAGGAGCACGAAGGUUAGCUAAUCCUGGUCGGACAUCAGGAGGUUAGUGCAAUGGCAUAAGCUAGCUUGACUGCGAGAGUGACGGCUCGAGCAGGUGCGAAAGCAGGUCAUAGUGAUCCGGUGGUUCUGAAUGGAAGGGCCAUCGCUCAACGGAUAAAAGGUACUCCGGGGAUAACAGGCUGAUACCGCCCAAGAGUUCAUAUCGACGGCGGUGUUUGGCACCUCGAUGUCGGCUCAUCACAUCCUGGGGCUGAAGUAGGUCCCAAGGGUAUGGCUGUUCGCCAUUUAAAGUGGUACGCGAGCUGGGUUUAGAACGUCGUGAGACAGUUCGGUCCCUAUCUGCCGUGGGCGCUGGAGAAUUGAGGGGGGCUGCUCCUAGUACGAGAGGACCGGAGUGGACGCAUCACUGGUGUUCGGGUUGUCAUGCCAAUGGCACUGCCCGGUAGCUAAAUGCGGAAGAGAUAAGUGCUGAAAGCAUCUAAGCACGAAACUUGCCCCGAGAUGAGUUCUCCCUGAGACUUUAAGUCUCCUGAAGGAACGUUGAAGACGACGACGUUGAUAGGUCGGGUGUGUAAGCGCAGCGAUGCGUUGAGCUAACCGAUACUAAUGAACCGUGAGGCUUAACCUUACAACGCCGAAGGUGUUU